GUAGCUCAGUUGGUUAGAGUGCCGGCCUGUCACGCCGGAGGUCGCGGGUUCAAGUCCCGUC
rnacentral:tRNA from 1 species